GGAAUCAAUCAUGGAAUGAUGGAAUCUCAGUGCAUGGAAUCAAUGUAUUAAAUUCAAUAUGGCGGCCAACGAUGUAGAAAUUCAGAGGCAAAAACGCCCGUUUAAAAUAUGUAAUUCUUCUCGCGAAAGUAAGAAAGGAAUAGCUUGUUCGUCAUUGGAAGAACUCAAGAGUAUCUCGUGUGAGCGAUUUAUGUUAAAUCCCGAUUGCCGUGUGUUUCUGGAGAGUGAUGGUACGGAGGUUGACAAUGAGGAGUAUUUUCAAUUUUUGCCGUCACAAACUUUGUUUAUGGUAACAGAAAGUAAUGAACAUUGGGUCAAAUCUGCUGACGAUAUACCUAG